GGACUCGUCCUUCCUUCGUUCAGAAGAAAGAAAAGGGGAGAUGAACCUCGAGCCCCACGCACCCCACGCACCUUUCUUUCCCGAGCACGCAACCUCUCCUUCCCUCUCCAGAAAAACACCAUCCUUCGACCUGGAUCGGCUCAUGUGACCGUCGGGCCUUGUCGCCACCGACGCCGACGCCUGCAAACGGCGGCAGGCUGGAUCUUGAUGGCGUGCUCGUAGCGCUGCCCACCAUCUGCGUGAUCUGGGCCGACGGGUUCAUCUCCUCCCACCUCUGUGAGAAUCUCAUGGCCGAGACCCCGCACUCCGUCCUCAUCGUCGACCACCUCGUCGACCCACCCCCGCCCCACGUCGCCGGCUGCAUCUCCUUCCGCUGCCUCAACGUCAUGAACAACUCCCGCCUGGAGGGCCUCAUCAAGACGUCCGAUCUGGUGCGCCCCUCCCCACCUCCCCUCCCUUCCCCGCUCACUCAUGUCCUUUAAGCGGAUUGGUCUGCAAAAUUUUGUUAUUGUCUCCUUUAGUGUUCUUGAGCUUGCUUCAUUUAAUUGGGUUGGGUGAAGACGUUGGUAGUACAAGGAAAGAAGUACAGCAUCAGGCUGCAGAAAUAUCUUUAAGAAAUUUGGCAAGUAAGUUUGUUUUAUUGCAUAUUUGUACUAACCUCUCCAGUUUCGUUUUCGCAGAUAUAAGAUAAUAUGUUAUGUAAUCAAGAGAUUCAUUUUAAAUUUGGAUUGUUCACAUGUUUACUCGAAGCAUAUAUGCUCUAUUGUGUGGAGUUGAUUUUUCCCUUUUUAGCACCAUCUAUCUUGGAAUUAGAUUGGAUACUGUGAGAAUAUAAUCAUGACUAUUUCUUGAUGGGUACUUGCUGCAUGAUUUUUCCACUGCAUGUCCAAGUUUACAUGUGAAAGGAUCUUGCUUGAUUCCAUUCUACUGGUUCAUCUGAAUUACCGAAUACAGAUGCAGGUCUCCUGUAUCUUCACUAAUUUCCUCUGUAGGUUCCUGUUUAGGGAGAAAAGAAAAUCCUGUUAUCCUCGUCCAGGGAUAGACCAUUUGGCACCAAUGAAUCAGCUGUUGAGUACAAAUAAUGUGGGAAGUUCUUCUUUGGCAAUCACGAUGUGUUCGUACAUAUGGUUGAAAGGAUCGCGUUGAUAGUGUUGCUACUUGCUACCAAUGCUUUUGUUGAGGUAACAACUGUCAAUUAAAUACAACUUGAUUUCGGUGUCGGUGUAGUUUGAGUUUAAUUUUACAUAGGGAAGUGAGAAGCUAAUGUUCUGCCGGUUUACAGAAAGUUGUCCUUGUUGAUCUGCUUUCGUUUGGGAAGAUCAUCCUUUCUAUGAUUUGUGAUGUCUUCCCAUAUUAUAUUCUACUGCUUCAUUCCUUAAUUUUGUACCCGAACGUCUCUGUAUCGUCAGGAUUUAGCUGAUGAUGAAUAGUAGUACAGCGCAUAUCUGUUCAGUUAAUUUGCAGUCCUGAACUGCUGAUUGAUUCUUAAAUCUGUUCAUGAGGGAUGACAUUUGGUGCAUUAAAAAUGCAGUAUGUUGCCAUUUGAGUAGUAUUCAAUCUGUUGUGCUUGUACUAAGCUGUGGCUAUGUCCUAUGUGCCUUCCAUGUCACAGCUUACUGCUUGCGCAGAAGCACAGGUUGCUUUAGCCAAGCACCAAUUAACAGAGAUGAAAUAGGUUGCUUUAGCCAAGCACCAAUGAACUUCACUGACUCAAGUAGAUUAAGUCCAAUACCAUUAUUUCGUUUGUGUUAUCCGUAUAUUUUAAGAAGUGAACUGGUUUACUAAAGUUCAAUCUGUGCACUUGUUUGUACUUGGUAGAAUUACUGCUUUCUAUCAUGAGCUCACAAGGAAGCCUGAUUUUUGUGGGUGAUCGAAUAGCACCAACUAAAAUCCUCAGGAAGUACAAGUAUGCUAUGAAGAUCUAUUGCCAGUUAUGCGUAUCUGAAUUUUUUGUUCUAUUUUCUGUAAUAUUAAUAUUACAAGCAAGAAUAGUUAUAGGCUAUCAAGAAUCUGAACUUUAUCUCAUUUAUUGAAUACAGAUGCCGAUCUCCUCCAUUUGUGUCUGUUGUUUUGAUUUAGUAUUCUACUGCCUCAUUCGUUAAUUUAUGCCCGAAUGUCUCUGUAUCUUCAGGAUUUAGCUGGUGAUGAAUACACCGUAUAUCUGUUCAGUUAAUUUGCAGCCCUGACAAACUGCUGAUUGAUUCAAUGCAAGAGAUGACAUUUGGUGUUAUGACAGAUUCGGUGCAUGGAUUUGUUGUUCUUGCAGGAGGCUGCAGACCUGUUGUGUUUGCUGCUGGGUCCUGGUUGCCCUGGAGUGUUAAAUUCAGAACGUAAGUGAAUGAUCACUGUACCCCAGCCACCCGGCUUGGCACAAGAUAGGAAAAGUGGUUUGGUGUACAAGGAGACUACAACUUUUUUGUUAAGGACUGCUGGGGCCAAGUCUGGUGGAUCUGUUUAAUUUUUGUAGCAGAGCAGUUCCGCUCUCUGUUUAUUGCCCAAAUGCGGUACAUAGGGCAGGAGGGGCAGGGCGGAGGUUCGACCUCCUGCACCUUCCAUCCCAGGCCUAUCUUUGUCAUUCUCGGCGGCCGGCCGAGCUCUGCGCUCCGGAACAACCAAAACAUGCUUGAGAUCUCAGUAAAAAAAAAGGAUUUUGUUUUACUGUGUUUGCUCUAAAAAAUUGUUCUGGCCAUUUCACUGGGGAUGCAGUGGAGAUUUUUCAGAGGGAGGGGGAGAGAGGGGGGGGGGGGGGAUGUUUGCAAAACUAAGAAGAGCAGAACAGAGUUGGGCACAACUACGACAAGCAGAAGAUUGGUGAACGGGAUGAAACAGUCGAUACCAAUGAGAAUGUCGUUGGUGCUAACAAAAGGUGACACCUCCAGUAUGUCCUUGCUAUUUUUUCCGUCUAGAUCUAAUAUGUGUUCCUACAAAGAGUAAAUAGCAACAUCAGUGCUGGCUUUCCAUCUGAAUCUGAGACAUUGAAUGAGAUCCUGUCAUUGCUAAGAAAAGCUAAGGAGGUCACCACCAAGAAUACCAAGGCCGCGUCGACGGACUCAGGUGCGUGCGCUCGUUGGUGGUUUUAGUCUCAUAGCUCAUUACACCUAGCCUCUAUUUGCUCAAUCUUUCAGAAUUUCAAGUGUCAUUGCAUUGUCGAGUAUGUUCAGCGGGAAGGAAAGCAACAAGCUGCUGGGGGUCAGGAUGACAAAGAUUGGUUCAACGUCGGCUGCUUCGUUGUGCCAGUGCCACACUUAGGCUGGUACAUGCACGUACGACCAUGGCGUCGGCGCCACUUCUUCAUCUUCUCCCGAACUGGCCCAUCCUCGCCAUUUCCACCGGGAUAAGCGAGUUGGAGGAAGAUGGAGAGGUGAGCUGGUUCUACUCAUUGACAGGAAAUUAUUUGGGCAUAACUUCCUUUUCGCAACAAGAAAUGAAAAUGUUCCCAUGAGAUUGAUUGAUCGUGCCCCGCUUUUGAACCAAUGUCAUCUAUGUCAUCGGUCAUGUAACCUCUAAGGCACCUGAUAAUAUAUAUGAUGUAACUGUCUUUUCUUCUAAAGAUGACCUAUUGUGUCAA